ACUCUGAGUCCUUUUGUGCUGAAGUACUUGGAAACAAUGAUUUCUGCAACAGCCUGAAAGAAGAGAUAUAUGGCAUCUUUCUUGAUCAGGCAAAAGUGGAACGGAAUGAAAUGUCUUCAAGAUUUAUGAUCUGCUCUAACUGCAGGGUUUAGUUAAAGACGGCACCUUUAGCUCCACUCGUGAAAGCAGGAUGGUUCCACAUGUUCUCCAUGUCUUCUGGGGAAGCUCUCGAGUCCCAGUACGUGAGAUUAGUACCUGUUUAGCCAAUACGGGAUAGAAUCAAUCCUGAAAGGCUGAAGGAAACUAAAGGGACAGAGAGAGGAUUACUUGAGUCUGGUGAAGUUGAGUGUAUAGGGGGAUAGCCACUUGCCGCCGUAGGGCCACCAUCGCCAGAUUUUCUGCGACAAUGAUUCGUGUAACAUGUACAACAAAAGAAACUUGGAAGCCUGUAUGAUGAGGGAUCAGAAACAACCACCUUGAUGGGAGAGAUUCUUUGACUGAAAGAUGAAGGGUUUUGUAAAAAAUUCCAAAGAAUGACAGAGAGGUAACUGAAAGGUUUUGAGAUAAAGGAAGAAAACGGUAACUUGAAUCACAAGUUAACCAAGUUAGAUAAAGCCUCGGAUCAGACUCAAAACGCUAUAAAACAUGUGGCAAACCCUUUCAAGCCUGAUAUGAGGCUUUGUCCACCCAGAUUGGAUUCCAUGUUUUCCAAAUUACCAUUUUCUUCCUUUUAUUUCACAUGGAUGUUACGACUAAUGGAUGUUAUCUCAAUGUCGUACUUAUCCUGAUAGUUUGACAUCCAUUUGAGGUAAGCUGCCGCAUAGUAUACGUUUGUAAAAGGCUUGUGAAUAAGAUCGGGAUCUUCUUUUACAUCAUAUGCUUGAUAACCCUGUCCUCUGCAGUAAAGAUUUGACUUAAAACUAGAACAGGAAGAUAUAUUUCGAGUAUCCUCUUGGAAAGUUGAGACAGUAGAAAAAAGCAUUUCGUACCCGGCUAACAUUUCUACUGUCUUUGCAUCAAUCUGUAGAAGACCUAUACCAGUCUCCUUGGUCUUCUUGUUAUAGCGCAUGAUGAGAGGCCUUCUGUCACUUUCAAGCUCAGCAAGUGCGCAAAGCAUUUCCUGCAGAGAAAGAGUGGAUAUACGAGACUUCGAGAUCAGGGAAACAUAUAUCCGAUUUCACUUUCCUAGUGACAGAAGAAACAUUCUAUCAAAUGAGAAGCUCCGAGUUAAAUGUACCGGAUCUACGAAUGUAUCGAAAUGUCUCCGGACAAUAAUAUCAGCAACUGCCUGCAAUAACAACGAAUUCGGUAAGCAGAUACGGCUGCCCAUCUGGAUCCCUUGAGAGGUGAACCCUUUGUCCCUUGAUUUCUCCAACGUUUAGCCACUCUGCUCUCACUGCAGGCUCCAU